GCACUGGCAAAAUCCGGUGUCGGGAUUGGAACCCUGUUGAACAUUCUACGCAUAGUAGCUAACUGAACUGUUGGCUUUCG
rnacentral:sRNA from 1 species